rnacentral:rRNA from 1 species
GCGAGGUGGUGCUAAUCCUAGAAAAUUCUUCGUAGUCCGGAUUGGAGUCUGCAACUCGACUCCAUGAAGUCGGAAUCGCUAGUAAUCGCGAAUCAGCAUGUCGCGGUGAAUACGUUCUCGGGUCUUGUACACACCGCCCGUCACACCAUGGAAGUGGAUUGCACCAGAAAUAGAUAGUCUAACCUUCGGGAGGGCGUUUACCACGGUGUGCUUCAUGACUGGGGUGAAGUCGUAACAAGGUAGCCGUAGGGGAACCUGUGGCUGGAUCACCUCCUU